rnacentral:rRNA from 1 species
UACCAGCACCCCGAGUGGUCGGGACGUUUAUUGGGCCUAAAGCGUCCGUAGCCGGUUCUACAAGUCUGCCGUGAAAUCCAGCUGCUUAACAGAUGGGCUGCGGAAGAUACUAUGGAGCUAGGAGGCGGGAGAGGCAAGCGGUACUCGAUGGGUAGGGGUAAAAUCCGUUGAUCCAUUGAAGACCACCAGUGGCGAAGGCGGCUUGCCAGAACGCGCUCGACGGUGAGGGAUGAAAGCUGGGGGAGCAAACCGG